rnacentral:snoRNA from 1 species
UUUCAUAUUGUUCAGUUCAGGGCAGCUUUCAUGUUCUGUGAAUUAAACUUUGGGACAUUGAAAUUGGUGAAGAGGGGGCUGGGGAGAUUAAGAGCACCAAAC